AUGUCGGCGGGGUGCGAGCGGCUGCGCGAGCGACACGGCGCGCGGUGGACCCUGCCGUUCCGGCCGCCGCUUUGCCUCGCGUGCGCCGUGGAGACCUUGGGCGAUGGCGGAGCCUCGCUGGUGCGGAAGAAGCACGCGCUGUCCCGUUUGCGCGAUGCCCUGGCGUGGCAGGCGCUGCCGGUCGUCCAGCUGCUGGCUCCAGACGAGAGGGGCUGCCUCUGUCUGAUAGGAACGCUCUUCGGGAUGUGUCAUGCAGUAGAAGACAGCGAUGCGCAGGACCAGUUUGGAGAAGUUCUUGUGCAGCUUAUAGUGGAGCUGAAGUCAGAGGAGUACUUGCGCUGCAUUCUGGAUGAAAGCCAAAAAGAGCUGUGCAAAGCAACUACCAGGAGAGGCAGCCUGCCCACAUUCAGUCUCUUGGGCAAGCUAGCAGAUGCUGUCCCAGGCUUUGCUGACAUACUGGUGGUGGAGCACAGUAAUUUAGUGGAUCAUCUGCUGGUGGGCUUGAUGUACCCAAAUGAAGGUGUAAAGGCUGCUGUCUGUUACUUGUAUGGCAAGCUGUACUCCUCUCCUGUUGGCACAGAAAAGCUCUCAGCACACUUUGAAGAAAGGCUGUGUGGCCUCUUCUUGAAUACUUUUGGCCAUGCGCAGACAAAGGAGCUGCAGGUUAAUUGCUUGGGUUUGCUGAAGGAGCUGCUGAAAUCUGACCGUUUUGUAUCCAUUCUUAUGAAUAAUUCAAAACCAGAAGAAGAAUCUGAAAACUCUGAUUUGUUAGGAGGGGAAAAUCCACUUCCACUCAUUCUCAAAAAGCUUUUGUUGACCAGAGAUGAGAUGUUACAGGCAGCAAGCUCUCACUGUAUGGCUGCAGUGCUGGUUCACUCUCCCAGCAGAUAUGCUCCUGCCUUUAUCCAUGCUGAUGUCCCAGAAUUCCUUUUUGAGUGCCUCAUGUGCAACAGUGAAAUUCUCAUCUGGUCAGUGUAUUGCUCGCUGCUUCUCCUCACCGAAGAGCGCCUUUUCUUCUCCAAGUGUCACACAGUGUAUGGCAUAGAAUCUCUGGUGAGAAGUCUCCAGGAUGUCCUGCAGUUGAACAAUAUGGAGUUACACAAGCAAGGGCUCCUGCUCUUCACUGAAAUAGUGAAACGGCAACCGGUGGAGAUUAAAUUAUUCACGAACCGAGGUAUAUGUAUAGAUGCCAUUGAUGUUUUGAUGAAGACAGUGGACUGCCCAGUGCUGGAGGUGGUAGUGGAGGCUGUGAAAGCUGUGGCAGCUUUUCUGAGGAAGGAUCAUCUGAACUCCCCUCCAGUCCCAUAUGAAAAUCUACAGAAACUACUGGAGGCAGUGCUGAAGCGAUGUGUCGACCUUUCCCCACCACACAGUAGCAACAAGCAUGAACAGGGUGAUCUCCUGUUAUCGAUGUCCCAGAGCAGAGUUUCUUGGAAAUAUGGACAGCUAUUAUUCAACACUCUGGAAAGUUUCAGAAAUGCUUGCAGGUUAGCAGUGGAAUUACAGAGUGACCCCAUGGCCCAGGAGAAUGCUUUCACUGCUCCCUGCUCGGAGAGCAAGGAGACUCUGAACAACUUUUCUGAGUUCCUGUUGAGGAUCUGUGACAGUCUCUGCAUCCCCAUGGUCAUGAACUACCUGGAAACAUCUGUCAGCUCCUCAGUGAUGGAGGUUUUCAUCUCGGCACUUAAUACCCUCUUUGCAGUGGUGCCAAACAUGCGAGAUAAGUUCUCCAAAAAGCUGGCAUCCUCCUGCUUCAUCCGACUGACACUGGAACUGAAAGCCAGAUUUUGCUCUAUACAAAGUAAUCCUGCCUUGAAUCAGGCCUGCUCCAGCUUCCUCUGCAACUUAUGCCUCAGCCUUUACUCUGCCACAGAGAAGGAGAGAACUUCUUCUCAAGAAGAGCGAGAGAUAUCUGAGCUCCUGCAGAAGUGUCUGCCUCAAUUAAACUACACAGUUGCAGAAAGCCUUCUCCUCCUGGCUGAAAACCCUGAACCUCUCUCCUUGGAUCAGUCUCUUUGCAAUCACCAACACUGCUUCAUACUCCUCUUAUACUUUGCCUACACCCUUGGAGACAGGUUUGUCCCAGAAACUGAAUUGUUUUUAGCCAUAAGAAAUUUUCUCCUGCUAGCACAGGACCAUCGAGACUGGCCCCCUCCAUACGUACUCAGAGCUGUGCUUUACCUUCUUGCUGUCUGUCAGGACAAAGGCAAAGCCCUGGACUCGAGGUCACUGUGUACUGUAAAGAGGAUCCUGGAUAAUCUCCCAGAUCUGAGCUUGGUCUACAUUCAUUGUCCUCUGCUGCUGAAAUUCUUCCUGCACUACCCUGAACUUAUGGGCAGAUUUGGGCACCAGGUCCUGCAGCUCUGGUUUUCUUGGGAAGACUGCAAUCAUGUGGAGACUGAAGAAGCUGCUUUUGGCACGUCUGAUCAGCUGAACAAUGCUAACCCUUUACUUCCCAUUCUGAAGAGCAAUUCCAGCAUUUUACUUAUUUUACUGGACCUGGUCUGCUCAAGUUCUGUGGAGGUGUCUCAGAAGGUGUUGAUGGCUCUAAGGACCUUUCUGGAAAAAAAUGAGGAUGUAUUUGUCUGUGACCUCCUCCGGAAUCAGUUCCUACAGAUUCUGCAGCAGCUACUUGUAGAGAGUAGCUCGGCCUCCUUACAAGCUAACAGGAACCUGCCCAUUUUGCUGAGCCUCCUAUUCCUGGUGCAGCUGCGGAGCAAGGGCAUGAGGGAGCUGGACAGCACAGACUUCAAGCUGCUUCACCAAGUCAGUAACCUCUGUGGGAAAUGCAGGCCGAAAGACAUAGACCUCCUGCAGCCAUCCUUGAAUUUUCUGUACUGUAGCCUUCACCAGACAACACCUUGUAGUCAACAGAGAGCAGUGGCAGUGCUGCUCUCCAAUGUGUCCUUGCUCGAGCUCCUCCAGAAGGUUUUGGAGUGCACCUGGACGUGGUCUUUUCCCUCUGAACCUACUUACCUGUCAUCUGAGGAUGCCUUGCUAAGCUCAGGAUGGCUGCUGGCUGCUUCCCUCUUAAUUUAUCAGCAUCGUUACAACACUGAGGUUCACCAGACACUUUCUCUAGACCUAAGACAAGUCCUGAAUGCAAUCAUCUUCAGGAAUAAGAAGCCAGUCCUGCUGUUAGUGAGCAUCGUGCAGUUCCUGAGAGCCAUUCUGCGACAGAACUUCUCCUCCCUGCUGGUGACUGUUGUCCAAAACACAGCCCAAGGUACUACACAGUCACAGCCAUCGUCACUGGAAGAUGCUGCCUUGCACCCCCUCACCACGCAGCAGGUCUUCUCCCUUGUUGUCAGUCUGCAGAACCUUUUGGUGCAUGUCUACUUGCAGAAAGACUUGCUGCUUUCUCAAGCUGUGGUUGCCUGUCUGGAAACAUUACUGGAAUACCUGUAUGUGAGGAACCAGGAUGUUGCACUACAUGUUGCUUCACAGCCCUGGCACCGAUUCCUGCUCUUGACACUGCUCAAUGGGAGCCAGAAGUCCAUUCUGCAGCCAGAAAUUCUGAGGCUCAUGACUUUGUUUCUGAAAUAUCAGAGCAGCAAUAUCAUUUCUCAAAAAGAAAUUGGCCAGAUUCUCCAGGAAGUGGCAGAAGCCAACUUACUAGAGCUGCCAGAGGCCACAUCUCAGGCUCUUCAGCUGUUCCUCUGCCAGAUUCAGAGCAGCCAUUGUCAGGUGGAGCCAGUGCAGGCACAGGCCAUUCAGACUUUGCUGGAGCACCUUCCAGAACGGAUGAGCACCUGUGCAAAACAUCAGGACAUUGUUCUUCAUCAUGCCGUGUUGCAUCAAAUAGGUAGCAGAUAUGGAACGGUCCCCAGCAAUGAUUUCCUGUUGGGUGGGGGACUUCCUCCCUCGUGUCUGCGGGGUGACACUGUCCUCCGCCAUGGGCAGCAUCUGUGGCAGGUGAGGUGUGCAUUAUCUGUGAGCAGUGGCUUGUCCUCGUGCCUAGUCCUUGUGUGACACUGCCUCUCUGCAGUUGGAAGCUGGGGGUGGAAGUUCUCACGGUCAAGACCGUGUAAACCACAUCAAGUUCCUCUCUGCUGGUCUGUGUAGGGGUGAGGGAGGGUGGACGAGAGUCUUGUUACGUUGCUUGAGUAGUUUGGAUACCUCUGUUUUAUUGAGAAAAAGCCUUCUUAAGGUUCACCCACAUGAACAUUCUCCACGGGUUGGUGAGAUUCCAUGGUUUGGGAGAGAGGUAGUUUAGUACGAUGAUACUUACGGGUCUCUUCCAACUCAGGAUAUUCUAUGAUUCUACCUCCUGUCACCACUGUGUCAAAUGUGGGAAUUCCAGUGUCAUGCUGGAGUUUCAGCUGUGCUUUCCCUUUGGUUUCCACUCAUGCCAUCGAUGACAGAUGUGUGGGCAGUGUGGCGAUAGCCCUGCCACAGUGAAGACUGAAAUGAGAAGAUGGGGUACGCGCAACAGAGUGAGAGAACAGAAUGGAGACAGCAUCCUGCCAUUUAUUCCCUGCAAGUUGUAGAGAGGAAGUGGACAAAGGAAGGAGGCGUUCCAUCCCUCGGGUCAUUUCCGUGGCCCUCCUCUGGACACGCUCCAGCAGGUCCACGUGUGUCCU